rnacentral:rRNA from 1 species
GACGAACGCUGGCGGCGUGCUUAACACAUGCCAGUCGAACGGAAAGGCCCUGCUUUUGUGGGGUGCUCGAGUGGCGAACGGGUGAGUAACACGUGAGUAACCUGCCCUUGACUUUGGGAUAACUUCAGGAAACUGGGGCUAAUACCGGAUAGGAGCUCCUGCUGCAUGGUGGGGGUUGGAAAGUUUCGGCGGUUGGGGAUGGACUCGCGGCUUAUCAGCUUGUUGGUGGGGUAGUGGCUUACCAAGGCUUUGACGGGUAGCCCGCCUGAGAGGGUGACCGGCCACAUUGGGACUGAGAUACGGCCCAGACUCCUACGGGAGGCAGCAGUGGGGAAUAUUGCACAGUGGGCGGAAGCCUGAUGCAGCAACGCCGCGUGCGGGAUGACGGCCUUCGGGUUGUAAACCGCUUUCGCCUGUGACGAAGCGUGAGUGACGGUAAUGGGUAAAGAAGCACCGGCUAACUACGUG